UCUCCGUUGGUGAACCAGCGGAGGGAUCAUUACAGAGUUUAUUAUAACUCCUAAACCCAUGUGAACCUACCUUCUGUUGCCUCGGCAGGCAAGUCGUAUCUUGCUACCCUAUAGGACCCUAUCUUGUAAGACGUUACCUUAUAAGGUCCUAUCCGGUAGAGAGAUGCGGUACUACCUGCCGGUGGACUGAAAAAAAAAUUCUGUUUAAUAAAUGGUAUUCUGAAUCAUUAUAUGGAAAUUAAGUUAAAACUUUCAACAACGGGUCUCUUGGUUCUG
rnacentral:misc_RNA from 1 species